UUUACCUCCUCUGAUUUCGUUUUCCCUCUCUCUUUUUGCACGCUCAACUCUAAUGCCUUUCUUCGUGAGAUUCAUCAUUUUCUUGAGUUCUCCCCACCCCACCUUCACGCAACUCAUCUUCGUGCAAUUCGCCGAUGAGCAUGGCUUCUCGUCAUUACCGGCCUCUCCAUAAUAAUUGGUGUGUAUAUCCUUCUGUUUUUCUCUCAGUAAACCCUAACAUUUAUAUAUAUAUAUAUAUUAUAUUUUCCCUAGCCCCUUCACAAGCACUGAUCGGUCUCUUCGCUCUCUCUAUCUUUCUCUCACAGUAAUAUGACUGUGCAGAAUACAUAUUUUGAGAGGACACUUGCACCUAUCCAUGAGAAACUUUGCAUUUUCAGUGAGGGCUCUUUGAGGAAAUUGGAUAGUGUUUCUCCUUUGAAGAGUUGAAUUACAUGUUCUGUAUCUGUCUUCAUAACGAUCUCAGGUGGAAUCAACAAUAGAACACAUCUAUCGUCAUGAAAGUGAUGGAGCCAUUCUUGUAUUCCUCACUGGUUGGGAUGACAUUUCUAAGCUACUUGAAAAAAUUAAAGCAAACAGUUUACUUAGAGAUCCUAGCAAGUUUCUUGUUCUUCCUCUUCAUGGUUCAAUGCCUACCAUCAAUCAAUGUGAAAUAUUUGAUCGCCCACAUGCCAAUGUGAGCGGAUGAUGGUUGAAUUUGCAAAGAAUGUGGCUGAUUUUGCUGCUGCUAGUGGAAAAAAGCACAUUGUUGUGCUUUCUAGCUUAGAUUUUGGACGGUGGCAAACAUUUGUUUUGGCCAUCAAUUUCAUGGACAUUGCCAUAGCAAUUGCCAACUAUCAAAGAGGAAGGUAACAUGUUGCAAAUUCUUCAAUAAUGAUACCAGGUGAGUUCUUGACAUAAUUGUAAGUAUGGAUUUUGUUUAACAUAAUUGCUUAACAUCAUUUCAACCUUCUGACUUUUGAUUAUAAGUUUGUACGUUCUCUGGGUCUUAUGUGUUAUCUGUUUUCCUAGUGUUAUGCAGAAUGACUUUAAAAGUGAUCC